AUCUUUGCGUUUGGAGCCAUGACACAGCUAAUGAGGUACUAACCGCGCGUCUAUUGCUGGUUGAAAAUUAUUUCCAGAUCCCCUCCUGGGCCUAAGCUUGUUUUGAGCUUUUGAUAAUUUUUGGAAGGGUUUUCUUCGGGGUAAAACC